rnacentral:lncRNA from 1 species
ACACACAGACACUCAGGGAGGGGUGCUUGUCCGUUGUUCAGGAAGGAAUCCCUGUCCUCAGAGAGCUCACACUGUCCCUGGAGUGUUCUCCAGACACACAGACACACGGGAAACCAAGAUGAGCCACAGGGCUUUCAAGUCCCUGCUGUGGACAAUCUGCAUGUGACAGCUGAGACAGGAGGAAGAGGCCCAAGGGAACGCAUUCCUGCUAGGACAGAGCUGGCUGGCUGCACAGUGGAGAGUGUUUGCUGGAAGCUGCUACCAGCCAUGGGGCACCUACCCGCCCAGCGGCCCUUGCAUCCAGAUGCAGAGCCCUGGACAAAGGACGGAGCUGUGAAAACAGUGCCUGGAGGAUCUGAUCCCUUCUAGCAAGGCCAAGAGACACGGCUGGGCUGGGGAGGACGGGGUCUCCAGGCCUCACCAUGGCCACUUAUCUAGACGCCAGCAUCAAAAGGUUCAAAGCCCAGGUCACAGGCUCAUGAAAAAAUUAAGCAGGUAUCAAAAAAUAUCACAAAGGCAACAGUUUUAUGACAUGAAAACAUCUAUCAGAGACAAUAUAAACCUGUCUGCUAAUAGAACCAGGAUUGGACUUUCCCAGGAUGACCAGGUCGCAAGGGUUGAGAUGACAAAAUCCCCUUAUGGAUGGGACUUCUUGGUCCUGGGUUCCCUUGACUGUGGCUUCCAGAAGAGAAGAGCUUUGGAGUCCUGCUGAGAGUGCCAAAACUGUGGGGGCCAAGAGAUAACUCUCCCUUCACCCUCUGAAGUUUCACUGAAACAUCAACCGACAAAAAGCAGAUUAAUAGGAGAAAUGGCAUACGAAUGUGUUAAGGUGCGUGGAGGGAAUAUCACAGAGUGGUUACCCCAACCCCUCAAUGGUGUACAGAGCUUAUAUACCAUCCUGAGCUUCCAAAAAGAAUAAAGGCUAACAGCAUAUG